rnacentral:lncRNA from 1 species
AUGAGGAAAGAAGAGCCCUGCAGGUGGGAACACAGACAGACUCCCAUGGAGAGAAUGGCAGAAAGGGAAAGGGGUCACAGAAGGAAAAUGAGCAGCUAUUCCAGGGCAUACAAAGAAGACAAGAAGGAUGUCAGAGAUCUGAGAGACACAGCCCAGACUGGGGCACCCACCUGGCACAAAGGGCCUUCAGGGGAGCACCCUGGUGCAGGAGAGGCAAGGCAUCCCUGCAGGGAGCUCUGGGGACCACACAGAUGUGUGAUCACCCUGCAGACCAGCAGGUGCAAUCUGGCUGGCACGGCCACGGCCUCUGCAGCACUCCCCAGCUGGCACCAGGAGCUCACAGGAUGCAGGUGGUGGGCACAAGUUCUGCUGCUGGGCAGGGCUGCCAUCCUCCCUGCUGCCCCAGACAGGCCUGGGGGGGAAACCUGCUGUCCAUCCAGAGAUGUGUCCCCCAGCCAGUGUCAGUGGUGCAACGGAGGCUUGGUAAUGUGUAACAGUACUUGGGUCCACACCAGCCCAUCAUUCUUCAGGGAACAAAGCACCCUGCCAAAGGUCUCCUCUGGAGAACAGAGGCAAGGGCAGCCUCAGCAACCCCAGUAAAGAAAAUGUUGACUCCUUCUGAGCACACAAGGACCAUCUCUGACUCCAGGGGUACCUCAGCACAGAGCAGUGCAGGACGGGGAGUACCUUAGAGAAGUCCUGCAGGGUGUCUGCCCAGCUGUGACACUUCUCCCCACCCUCCAGGUAUGGAUGGGCACUGCUGCAGCAGCCAAGCUGCUGGCAGCAGCUGCCCAGCACCUUCACCACCUUCAAGAAGGGGAGCAGCAAGCUCCCCAGAGGAAAUUGUGUCCCAAGAGUGCAAUAAUUACCAACAUUAACCCCAAUCCCAUGUUACCUCUUGCCACGGGGCAGCUGGAGGUGGCUGGCAAAAGUUGGACAUCAGUGACAGAGCAGGUCAGGUCCUCUCCUGCCUCCUCCCUUUUCUGAACCCAUGUGAAAGCCCCAUGCAGGUACCCAAAGAGGGUUUGCGAUGAAUCACUGUGCAAGAGCUGUUAGACUUUCUGUGCUGGGGGUGGCAGACCUCCUGCUCCUCAUUUUGGGACAGACAUUUCUCUGCACCCUCUCCUACAGCCCCCUAAACUUGAUUCCUUUGCAAGGCUUAAUGUGUCCAGGUAUUUCUGUUCUUCUCUACUCAGGCCUUUUCUUUGGAAAAAAAUGGGUUAAAACAUAAAGACAUUUUAAAAUAAAAACUUAUAAUGCUCAGUACUUACCUCA